rnacentral:lncRNA from 1 species
CCCUCUUCAUACAUUUCCUUAAAAUUCUUCUGAAACACCAAAACUAAAUAAUCGAAUAUGGCUUUGCGGGUCGAUGAUGCCAGCAACAAUGAGGCUGCAAUUAUCACUUGUUUAGUUUCUAUGCUUGCCGUGGUUUAUUUCGUAUGGAAUGUGAACAAAUCAAGGAAAGCAAAUGCUAAACUGCCACCAGGACCUCGCGGUUUGCCUGUAGUCGGAUACCUCCCAUUUCUCGGAACUACUGACUUGCACAAGAAAUUCACGGAAUUAUCCGGAGUUUAUGGUCCGAUCUUCAAGCUCUGGCUCGGAAAUAAAUUAAGUGUCGUGGUGAGCUCACCUUCCCUAGUUAAACAAGUGGUUCGUGAUCAAGAUACAACAUUCGCAGACCGUGACCCGCCGAUCUCAGGACUAGUGACCUCCUUUGGUGGCAAUGAUAUUACAUGGUCCAAUUACGGUCCCGAAUGGAGAAAGUUGCGCAAAUUUUUUGUGGGCAAGAUGAUGAGUAACGCAAGCCUUGAUGCUUGUUAUGCUUUAAGAAAACAUGAGGUUAAAAAUACUAUCAGGGAUUUGUAUAACAACGGCAACAAAAUUGGUAAGCCCAUUGACAUUGGUGAAUUGUCGAUUUCAACAUUGGUAUGUGCUAUGCAGAACAUGCUGUGGGGUGAAGCGCUUGAAUUAAAAGAGAAAGGGACAACUAAUCUUGGGGUUGAGCUAAAAUUUAAGUUUGCAGAACUCAUGGUGCUACUGGGAACACCGAAUAUUUCGGAUAUCUUUCCAAUGCUUUCUUGGCUCGACAUACAAGGUAUAGAGAGGAGAGCAAAGAAGAUUUCACUCUGGUUUGAAAAAAUUAUAAAUUCUACUGUUGAAAAGUAUAGAAGCAAGGACUUUAAUGUUGAAGGUAAAGAAAGAGCAGGGGAAAAUUUUGAAGGAUCAAGGAACAAGAACUUCUUGCAGUUACUAUUGGAGCUUCAAGAAAAUGAAGACGGUUCUUCCUCAAUUAGCAUGAACCAAUUUAAGGCCGUACUCGUGGUAUGUUAAGAAACUAGCCGCAAACAGUUAUACAAGCACAGCUGUAUAUUUUGCAUGAGUGAUAUUUUCAACCUUUUUUUUUUAUAAUUAGAAUUUUAUUGUAACCUUUUGGACAGGAUAUAAUUACGGCUGGAACCGACACCACAACUACGAUGGUGGAAUGGACAAUGGCAGAGUUGAUGCAGCAUCCACAAAUAAUGAAGAAAGUUCAGGAAGAAUUAGCUCAAGUUGUGGGCAUGGACAGUUGUGUUGAAGAAUUUCAUUUGCCUAAAUUGAAAUAUUUAGAUGCUGUGGUGAAAGAAUCGUCUCGUCUGCAUCCUGCAGUGCCUUUAUUACUACCACGCAGAGCAAGCGAGAGUGGCAGCAUUGGUGGCUAUAACAUUCCCAAAGAUACAACUAUUAUGUUGAAUGUUUGGGCAAUCCACAGGGACCCUAAACUUUGGGAUAAUCCCUUAGAAUUUCGACCCGAGAGGUUUCUAGAUGAUGGUAUCGCGAGUAAGUUCGAUUACUCAGGUAACAAUUUUCAGUACUUGCCAUUUGGUUCUGGUAGAAGGAUGUGUGCUGGGAUUCCUCUAGCUGAGAGGAUGCUGAUGUUUGUUUUGGCUUCGUUAUUGCACUCAUUUGAGUGGGAAUUGCCAGCUGGCACAAAGCUAAACUUAUCUGAAAAAUUUGGGAUUGUCAUUAAGAAAAAAGAGCCUUUAGUUGCUAUUCCAACACCAAGACUAUCCAAUUCAGAGCUCUACCAUUAAGACAGAAUGGUUGUGAUGAUUUUGUUAAUUUCCGAAGAUUUGUAUGUUAUGUCAAGUUCAAUCGUAAUAAAAUAUUUCAAAUAAGAGUCCUCCGUUGCUUUUUUUUUUUUUUUCAACCGCAUAAUCUGUCGUCAUGCUUGUAUUUGGGGCUACUUUGGAAUAAUUAUGUUUGAAUUACAAUAUAUAAAUAUUACAUUUUAAAAUUUUAUGAGAUUCUAAAUUUAUACACGUUCAAUAACCCACUUCAUAUAUGUUUAACACAAUUUAUAUCAUACAUUGUAUACCCAUUUGUCAUAAAUUACGCUAUUUUAUAUCUCUAAAUAAUAUUACAUAUUGAUAUUAUAAAAUGUUGUUAACUCACGUGUGUAUAUAUAUAUAGCAAGUCACGUGCAUAUAUUAUUGGUUGUUAUAUGUUUGCUAGUUUGAUAGGAUUUCCUUUCCUUGUGAACUAGGGUAAUUCUUAUGUACAUAUAAAUAUUGAUCAAUAAGAGUGCAGAUGAUGACUGCAGUUUUGCAUCGUAGAAAUUCUUCGUAAAAUAUAUAUGUUUAUCAAAAGGCUAUACCAUUCAAUAUAUAUUGGAAAGAGAACAAAGAAGAUCUUCUUAUGGUUUGAAAAUAUUAUGAAUUCUGCUGUUGAACAGUAUGGAAACAAGGUCUGUUGUUAAAGGUGAAGAAGUCACAGGGAACAAUAUUGAAGGAAGAAAUUUCACGUUUAGUUGCUGAAUUUGCCGCUGUAUUCUAUCGGUAGUAAAAAGAUUAGAGUUUUUAUUUUUCUCUAUUAAUGUUAAGUCAAUUUUCUAUAACAAAUUCGGUUGAGUUUAAUUGUGUUACAAUAUAAAUUGAAUGAUAGUAGAAUUUUCAACGAAUAAUUCAAUAUUUCUAUCUCGAUUGUUGAAGUGCCAUUUAUUUGUUAUACGAUCGAUUUUAAAAUUUAUAAAAUUAUUUGUUACUAAAUUGCAUCAUAUGCUAAAUCACCUGAAACCUAAUUUCAUAACUAACCCUUUAUUUUUAGUUCUCAAGAAAUCUUGUAAGAACAAAAUUCUUUUGUAACAAAACGUUUACAACAAAUUAAUUUGUAACUCAUUCCUGUGCGAGAAUCACUCUCAAUUUCCUUCAAUUGCUGUUUAACAAUCAUCUGCUUAUCAAAAUUCAAGCAUAAUCUUUUUUUUUAAUUUCUUCAUCAUUCUUUUGAAAAAAAAAAUCAGGAUAUGCUGUUAAAUUUUGAAAUAAAUUAUCUCAAAAUAAUUACUAACCAGAAAAAACAAAGGGGUUUAACUAGGUUAUGCAUACCUUUGAAAAUUAUAUGUUGAUCGAUAAGAAUGAUGAUCACGAUUGACGAGUUUAAUUAAAAUAUAUAAGAUUUUAAAAUUAAUCAGGGUUAAAUUGUGAAUUUUAGAAAGAGAGGUUUUGUGAGAAUGUUGAAAGGGUGUUAAUAGUUCCACUCUUUUUAAAAACAACCAUAGUCAUCAUUUUUCCAUGGUUGUUUUUAAAAAGAGUAUUUCUUCUUCCCAUCUCCAUCUUAUUUAGAAAUUUCCCAGAGCCUUUGUUUCCCACCUUUCAUUUUUCUUCUUUCUAAUUUAAUAAUCCACCCUUCUUGUAUUCAAACUAAAAAAUUAAAAUCUGAAAAUUUAAAACCCAAUAUUAUAGUAUUAUAAAAAUAAUUACUCACAUUUUAUCAAACACCUCCAUUCUUCCAAGGCCUUGUUUUAGUAGUAGGCUUUUAUUAUCUCAAUAAAAUUGAAAAAAAAAAUCUCAAUAAUAUUGGAAAAAAACCCUACCCAUAUUUGUAACUUUAAUUUAUUAUUCUCCAUAGACCUACUUUUUAGUUUUGAAUUUUGUUGGAGCCAUAUAUAAACAGAAUAUGUUGAAAUCAGCACCCAAAAAAAAAAAAACUAAUUAUAUAAUUUAUGUUCCCAAGGACAUGGCUGAGUGAUUUUCAAGAAGUUUUGUUUGGCUGGCCACUUAGGUUUAAAUCUUGGUGGAGAUUAAGGGUUAAGAAAUAAAUUUAGACUUUGCACACCCCUUUAACUUUUAAAAAGAAAUGAAAAAAUUAAUUAAUUAAUCUUUAUUUUAUUUAUUAAAUGUCAUAAUCCUAUGCGUAUUUUAUUUGUUAUCUUUCUAUUUAAAAGACGAGGGCAGAUAAAACUGAAAUAAAUUUUUAGCCCUAUCUCCAUAUUUCAAGUUCCAUAGUUAGGUGACCAGCUAAAAAAAAUUAAUUGAAAGCUACUCCAUCAAAUUAAAAAAAUUUAUUUAUUUAAUUUGUGGAGAUGUAGAAAAUCAAACCCCAUACCUUUUCGCAUACACUGAACAUAUUUUAAUACAUGACUAUCAUCCUUUAUCCUAAAUACUACUAUAACUAAUAACAUACAAUUGAAAUAAUUAAUGUUAACACUUGGCUAUAAAUAAAGGUUUUGUGCUUGAAUCUUCACGCAUGACCUUCAUUCCUUUAUUGACUUUGCUAACACAGAUUUUGAGGCAUUAAAACUAAAUAAUAAUUGACUUUGUGGGCCGAGGAUGCCAGCAACAAGGAGACCACAAUUAUCACUUAAGUUACUCUAAUUGCCGUUGUCUUAUAUUCAUAGAAUAUUAGUAAUAAGAUUAUUGCAGAAUUUUUUUAAUAUUAAAAUUAAGUCAAUUUGUUAUAACAAAUUUAGUUGAGUUUAAUCGUGUUACUACAUAAAUUGAAUAAUAAUAGAAUUCUCGACAAAUAUUUCAAUAUUUUUAUCCCAAGCGUUGGAGUGGCAUUUAUUUGUUAUACGAUCGAUUUUAGAACUUAUAAAAUUAUUCGUUACUGAAUUGCACCAUAUGCUGCAUGACCUGAAACUUAAUAAACGGAAUGUAGCGUUGGCACCGUUACUCAACAUACUGUUACGACUUUGUGACAUUAGAAUUAAAAUCUUUUGCACAUUUAAUUUGUUUACUUCAAAAUUAAUAUUUAACAAAAUAUUUUUUUCACAUUAUCAAUGGACAAAACUCCAACGAAAAUAACUACACAAGAAAAAUGUAUGCUAGUAUUGUGUGCCAUAUCAUCUGUAAUUUUGUCAGGAUCGAACACUCUAAUUUUUAAGCAGAACUUUUUAUCAAUGGACAAACACCUCACACAGCUUGUCAGAGGCAUUAUUAUGAUAGAAAACUGUAAUGGUAUAUCUUGAAUUAUUGGUAGAAUAGUUCUUUGGAGCAAUAAAAAUAGAUAAGACAGAUGAGAAAAUUGUCAAUACCCCACCGCAAAAGCAAAAGAAAAAAAGGAAAGGAGACAAAAGAGGAAGAAGAAAAAAAGGAAAGGAGACAAAAGAGGAAGAAGAAAAAGAAAAAAGAACGAAGAAAAAAAUGGUGCCGCGCUGUAUUGGGAAGAAGAAAAAAAUUAAUAAAAUAAUAAUAAAUAAUAAAUAAUAAAUAAUAAAAUAAUAGUGCACAACAAUCAUUUGAUUGCUAUAAAUAAAGGGGCAUUUUCCUCAUUUUAUUCAUCGAAUUCUUCAGUUCCUUUCAAGCGAUUUAAGAGUCUAGUGAUUUGAGAGUUUGGGAGUAUUGUGAUUUUGAGUACUAAGUUAAAAUACUAUAAUACUUGUAACUCAUUUUCACUAGUAAAAUAUUUUUCUUCUGUCUUCGCCCGUAGACGUAGGCUAAAAGCUGAACCACGUAAUUUCUGGUGUCCCUAUGUGAUUAUGUGUCUCAUUAUUUCUCAAUUUUACUUUAGUUACGUGUCUGCUACACCCUUCAAUUUACUAACAAAAAUGGCCAAAAUUAUAUAAGUGACCCAAAUUUUUUUGCUAUUUCCAAGAAAUCCCCAAUCGGAAUAGACCAAACUAGAGGGAGGCAAGUUAGAAAUACGUUUCCUUCAUAAACAAUAACAGCGAUGAGUCGAUGACAUCGAGCCACGUCGGUAUCAAUAUUGAAUUAAAGGUGCAAUUAUUCAGCCAAUGAGCCUUACACAUCAAGAUAAAAGUCAAGAAAAUGAAAAAUUUAUCCUAAUUAAAACACUUUCUGGCUGCAUUUAGCUGUUUCUAUUUGAAGUUAAAAACAACAUUUCUUUCGUUUUGUGGGCAACUCGACUGAGUUCGCUGGCUUCUAGUGCUAGUAUGUGAAAAUAGAAGGCUAAUGAUUUAUUUGUUAUCUUUUGACAAAAAAUGUUAAAGAUAUAAUAGAUUUUCCAUGAUACAAAUGAAAAAUUAUAUCAACAUAACUUCCAAGCUACAGCAGCUAGUGUUUACCAAACACUUUGCUGUAGCUUUUAAGCUACAGCUGCCCAACCUCAAUAGGUUGAUUGAAUUUGUGGGAUAUAGAUUCCACAUAUCUCAUGACCUAUUAAUUAUACAAGUGGUUCUUGAUCAAGAACAACAUUUGCUUCCGACCCAGUAACCCAGCAACUGCUGCACUGGUCGCCACCUAUGGUGCCGACGAUAUUGCAUGGUCCAAUUAUGGCCUUGAAUGGAAAAAGUUGAGCAAAUUAUUUGUGGGCACGAUGAUAAGUAACGCAAGCCUUGAUGCUAGUUAUGGUCGAAGAAAACAAGAGGUUAAGAAUACUAUCAGAGAUAUGCAUAACAACAAAAAGGAAAAAAAAAAAAAAAGGCAUUGGCAAGUCAAUUGAUAUUGCUGAAUUGUCGAUUUCAACUUUGGCAUGUGUAAUUCAGACAUUGCGCGUUGUGGUAUGGCGCUGGCACGCUUGCAUUGCCGAGAGGACAAAUCUUGGGGCUGGGCUAAAAUUUAGGCUUGUAGAACUCAUGGUGCUAAUGGGAACGCCAAAUUUUUUUAACAUAUUUCGGUGCUUUCAUGGUUUAAUUCAAGGUAUAGAAAGGAGUGUUGAGAAUGUCAAAUAAAACGACAUUGAAUGGAAGUUGUCAAAGACAUGAUCCGCACUGAACGGCAAUGACACGGUUGGUAAAGAUUUUUUCAUAAUAUGCGUAUCUAAUUUUUGAAAAAUUGUAACCUCUGCUUCUAUAAAUAUGCUCAAUGUAUAAUGUUUUACUUAAGAAAUGAAAAACUUAAUUCUUUAUGGUAUCAGAGCGAGGCUCGUUGCUCUGUUUGUAACAAAAACAAAGAAAACUAAAUUCUUCCCACAACUAUUUUUCCACCUUUUUUUCUUCCUUAAAAGCAUUCCUAGCAUUACAGAAACCCAUGCCAAUAAAAGAACAAGCCACACAUAUGUAAAAACUUUAGUUUACAAAUCUAUCAACAUCCCCAUAAAUUUUCCCAAAAAGUGAUCUUCAAAAACCAAAAAUACCAUCAAUUUUCGCAUCUUCUAGUAAACAAACUAUAAAAGUUUCGCACUCAAACAGAGCCACACGCGCCUCCACGCGCUUCCCGGAAUCACGGCCAACCACCACGCGCCUCUGUCACCACCAACUCACCCUCAUGCGCUCCAGAUGUUGCAGAAGACGCAAAACGACGUGUCGUUUUCUUCUCUAAAAGUGCAGCAACGUGGAAAUGACUUUUUGUUUUUGCCUUAAAUUGUUUUUCCUCGUUUGAAGCUAUACAACAUUUUUCUUUCUAAACCUGUUUUUUACAAUAAAAAAAGAAAAAAAUGGAGAAAACUCCAACUGAAUCUACUCAUGUUGUCAUUCAAUCUGUUCAACCUGAUGGAGUAUUUAAUGCCGAAAUUAUCCUUACUAAGACAAACUACGAUAUUUGAUCUCAAAUAAUGGAGAUGCAUCUCGCAGAAAGAAAAAAACUCCCAUAUAUUCGUAGCAGCAUAAAUCCAUCUGACAAAUUUUCAAAGAAAUAUGAGAAAUGGUAUAGUGAGAACCAAAAAGUAAAAAGAUGGUUACUCAUAACCAUGUGUCCUGAGAUCAUGAAGCGAUAGUUACAAAUUCCUACAGCCUACGAAAUUUAGAAUGCAUUAUCAAAAGCCUUUUAUAAUGGAAGCGAUGAAAUACAAGUUUUCACUCUAAAUCAGAAGGCGUUCUCUACGAAGCAAAAUGGACAACCACUCUCUAAAUUCUACGGAGAAUUGAUCAAAAUGUUUCAAGAACUUAAUCACCGAGAUAAAGUGGUCAUGAAGGAUCCAGAAGAUGUUAUAAUAUAUAGGAAGUUUGUUGGAAGAUUGAGAGUGCACAUUUUUCUUGCUGGACUAGAUGAAGAAUUUGACCAAGUUUGUGGAGAAAUUCUACGAAAAGAUACUAUCCUAGACUUAAAAGAAUGUUAUUCUCUAAUCCGAAAAGAAGAUGUACGGCAAAGCAAACUAACAAGAAGGUGGACGACUCAGAAACGUCUGCUAUGAUACCACAAGAGAACAAUGUUUUGAAAUUGUUCGAUAUCCUGACUGGUGGGAUACUCGAAGUAAUAACACAAAGCAGAGAUAAAAAACUGCAGUAGCUGAAUCCACAUCCACUACAGAUCUUAGAAAAGAAUCUUCAGCGCAAAUUGCAACCUCUGUCAAUUCAGGUAAGGUCAUUAAAACUCUUACAUUUGUUAUUAAUAGUAUAUGGAUAAUUGAUUAUGGUGCAACUGAUCAUAUGACUUUUGAUUCUUGACAAGUUUCUUAAUUGAAACCAUCUUCACAUAAACAUGUUUCUACUGUAAAUAGAACCACAACCUCAGUUAUUGGGGAAGGAUCUUUACAACUCACAAUUAAAUCAAAUUUAGACUUUGUGUUAAUUGUUCCAUCUUUAAAUUAUAAUCUUUUAUAUGUGUCUCAAAUAACCUCUUACUUAUCAUGUGUUGUAAUGUUUUGGCCCGAUCAUUGCAUGUUUAAGGACAUCCAAAUGAAGGAAACGAUUGGUUAUGAUAUUAAAUAAGGCAACUUGUAUUACCUGGAGAUGACAUCAACAAACACUGAAAAGCUAAGCCCCGCAUUAGUAGCAGACAAUUCCAUGAAAAAAAAGGAAAUAAGAAAUUUGGUUAUGGCAUAGACGAUUAGGGCAUGUGUCAUUUGAUUUCUUAAAAAAAUUGUUUCCUAGUUUGUUUCUGAAAUUUGAUAUUUGUAACUUUAAAUAUGAUGUUUGUGAACUUUCAAAUAGCCAUCGAACUACUUUUCCAUUGUCCUUAAAUAAGAAUCCAAUUCCUUUAAUGGUAGUACAUUCUGAUGUAUAGAGACCAUCUAAAGUUUCUACCAUUGGAAGAGCUCGUUGGUUUGUUACAUUUAUUGAUGAUUGUAGCAGAAUGACAUGGAUUUUUUUAUGAAAUUAAAAUCAUAUGAUGGUGACAACUCUAUUUCAGACACAAAUUUGAGUUCUACAUACUGAUAAUGGAGGCGAGUAUAUGAGCACAACAAUUCAACAGUUUUUGAAAUCACAAUGAACUCACCACCAAACCACUUGUGUGGGGACACUCCAACAAAAUGGCGUUGCUAAACAAAAAAAUAGACAUUUACUAGAAGUUGUUCAAGCAUCACUAAUUUAGGCCCGCAUGCCACUAUUUUAUUGGGGAGAAGCAUUGGCAUCCGUAGCAUACUUGAUCAAUCGGACACCUUCAAUCUUCCUUGGAUUCCAAACUUAUUUUCUAGUUCUAAAUGAAGAAUUAUGUCAUCAAAUGUGUCGAAUUUACCCCCACAUAUGUUUGGUUGUGUUGCCUUCGUUCAUUUGCCAUGACAAGAUAAAUUAUCUCCUCGAGCACUACGUUGUGUGUUUGUAGGGUAUGCCUUACAUCAAAAGGGGUACCGAUGCUAUCAUCCUCUAUUAAGAAAAAAUAUACAUCACCAUGGACAUAAUCUUUCAUGAAGAUAUCAUGUAGUACCCAUCGGAGCUUGAAUUUCAGAGGGAGUAUAAUGAAGAGGAAAUUCAUACUCUUACAUAUCUUUCACCUGAAGAAGAUCAAUCCUCCAUUGAGGUAGUAAACGUUCAAGAUACUGGAAAAGAAAACGACAAUGAUUCUCAGGCUGAGACAAGUGAAGACACAUUUAGGGAGCAAAAUAACUCAGACAUAACCACAAUCGAGAACGAGUCCAUGAAGAGCCACAUGAAGAAAUAUCUAACCAAUCAUCUGCAGAGGAUGAUCCUACCACAAAUCCCAGUCUAAUCAGAAGAAUACUUCCCCAGCAUCAAAAUAGAGGUAUCUCUAAACCCACAUAUAAGACUGACCUCUCUAGUAGAGUCAAAUACCCUAUGAGUCAUUUUGUAUCUAACCAUGGCUUAUCAAAAUCAAAUCAGUCAUUUGUGAAUCAAUUAUCUACUGUGUCUAUUCCUAACAGUGUGCAAUAAGCCUUAAAAUAUCGAAAGUGGAAAGGGCUAUGAAUGACGAAAUGAGAUCUCUUUAAAAAAAAUCAAACAUGGGAACUAAUUGAUCUUCCACCAGGAAAGAAACCAGUGGGUUGCCGAUGGAACUAGUUGAUCAUCCACCUCCAUUCUGACAAGCAAUGUUUAUCAGCAAUAACAAAUGACUGAAGCAUUUUAAUGAGGUUAGUAACGAAAAAGAGUUUAAUUAGAGAAUAUUAUAAGAGAAAUUCUAAUUUUUGAUUUUUAAUAAAUUAAAAUAUCUUAAAAUAUUAUUAGUUGGUGGUGGUUUCAUGUCAGAUUAAGACGUGACACCUUACUAAUGAGGUCGAGACAAUUAGCUUAAAUUAUUUCAAUGCAUUUGAAAUUUCCACUAAUGACUAUAAUUCUUUGUCCUAAUUACUAUGAUAAUUAAUAACAUACAAUUGAAAUAGUUAAUAUUAGCACUUGGCAAUAAAUAAUUAAAUUUCAUUAACACUAAAUAAUAAUUGAAUAUGGCUUUGUACAUCGAUGACGCCAGCAACAAGGGGACCGCGAUUAUCACUCUUUAAGUUGCUUUUAAAAUUGAUUUUAGUAGUGAUAUGAUUAUUGUAGUGUUUUUAUUUUUUAUAUUAAAAUUAAGUGAUUUGUUAUAAUAAACUUAGUUGAGUUUAAUGGUAUUACUACAUAAAUUGAAUAGUUAUCAAAUAUUUUAAUAUUUUUAUGGCAAGCGUUGACGUGGCAUUUAUUUGUUGUAUGAUGGAUUUUAAAAUUUAUAAAAUUAUUUGUUAUUAAAUUACCCCCAGAUGCUACAUCACCUGAAACUUAAUAAAGGUAUGAAGACAUGUGUGUGUGGACUGAAAUGAAGAAUAUGGAAAAGUUGAGAGCUGUUGUGCAGAUUGAGUUCAGUUGAUGGGGUCUAUUAGAUAUUGUCUGCUGACGUGGCAUGAAUUCGUUAUAAUCUGUUAUAACGAGUUCAGUAUAUCAGUAUACAAUAGAGCUGAUGGAUGGUGCCUGUUUUAGAGUCUUUUUUAUAUUCAUUUGUUCAUCAUUUUGCGCAAGAUCUGUUCCAUUGUGAUAUGUGUAAAGUCUUAUGUAAACCCACUUAUGAUUGGAUUAGUUCUUGAUUAAUAACAACGAGUAAAUUUUCCUUCAAGUGUGCUGGUCUGUGCCCCUGUUUUUUGUUCUGAUAUUGUUUCUUUGUUCUGGCAUUUCAUUUCGAUUGUGUUCUUGGUGUUUCUACUCAUCAAGAUUUAUGAGUCUUGUUGAGAUUAAAGACUUAAUAGUCUUAACAAGUGGUAUCAGAGCCUGGUGAAUCUCAGCCAUGUCUCUUUCGAAGCAUGAAAUUGAAAAAUUCACCAUUGGUGGUGAUUUCUCGCUUUCGAAAUUAAAAAUGAGGGCUCUCCUUGUGCAUUAGAGGCUUGAAUUUGCUCUGGAAAAAGAUAAUCUAGAGGCUGCUACAAGUUAUGUGACUGAUGAUAAGAAGAGACAAAUCCAAAACCGAGCUCGUAGCACUCUAGUUUUGAGUCUUGGUGACUCAAUCUUGAGAAAGAUUUCUGAAGAGAAGACAACCUUAGGGAUUUGGAACAAGGUAGAAGCUUUGUGUACAAAGAAGUCGCUAGCUCACAGACUAUUCUUGAAGAAAAAGUUAUACACAUUCUCGAUGAGAGAAGGAGUCACAAUUCAAGAUCACAUUGAUACCUUCAACAAGAUCAUUCUUGAUCUUGAAGGGGUGGAAAAUGUGACAAUAAGUGAUGAAGAUAAAGCCUUCUUCUUGUUGAGUUCCUUACCAAAGUCUUAUGAAGGCUUUGUAGAUACAAUGCUUUAUGGCAGAACAACAUUGACUCUUGAAGAUGUUAAAGCAUCUCUAAGUUCAAAAGAGAUUCAGAAGAACAAUGAGAUUGAAACAAAUAAUGGUGAUGGGCUGAUUGCCAGAUCAGAAAAGAAGAAAGAUCAGAAGAAUAAAAAUCAGGGAAAAUGACAUGGAAAGAAUUAAGAAAAUGCAGACAAGAAGAAAAAGAAGAGAAAAUGCUUCUACUGCCGGAAGGAAGGGCAUUACAUCAGGGAUUGUCUUAAAAAGAAAAAAAAAGAAAGUCAAGAGAAGUCAGGGGAUGCAGCUGUAGCCUCUGAUGAUGCCUCUGAUGGAUAUCACAUUGCUGAUUUACUUGUGGCCUCAAAUAGCAAUACUAAAGGUCAGUGGGUCAUAGACUCUGAGUGCUCUUUUCACUUGUGGCCUGAUAAAACCAUAUUUUACAAAUAUGAAGUUGUUGAUGGUGGUAGAGUCUUAAUGGGAAAUAAUAAUGUGUGUAAUCUUGUUGGUAUUGGUUCUGUGAAGAUCAAGAUGUUUGAUGGAACUGUAAGAGCUCUACAUGAGGUGAGGCAUGCUCCUAGGCUAAAGAGAAAUCUAAUCUCUUUAGGCAUGCUAGACAGCUUAGGGUAUUUCUUUAAAUCAGAAAGUGGUGGUUUAGAGAUAAGAAAGGGGACUGAGAUAGUGAUGAAGGGGGUUAAAGAAAAUGGCUUAUAUGUAUUGUAAGGCUCAUCAGUGCUUCUUCAAAAGGGAAUUUCUGCUCUUUUUGAGGAAGAUAUAACCAAGUUAUGACAUCUUAGACUUGGUCAUAUGAGUGUCAAAGGGAUGUAAGAGCUCAGCAAACAAGGGCUACUUGGUGGGGAUAGAAUCCAGCAACUGGAAUUAUGUGAAAAUUGCAUUUUUGGCAAAGCUCACAGGUCCAAGUUUCACAAGGGGGAGCAUAUGUCUAAGCAAGUUUUGGACUAUGCACAUGCUGACCUUUGGGGGCCUGCUCAAGUCCCAUCCUUGAGUGGUGGCAGGUAUUUCAUAUCACUAAUUGAUGAUUACUCAAGGAAGAUGUGGGUCUACAUACUCAAGACCAAAGAUCAAGCCUAGGAAAAAAUUCAAGGUAUAGAAAUCUUUGGUAGAAAAUCAAUUUGGAUUCAAGCUCAAAUGCUUGAGAACUGAUAAUGGUUUGGAAUUUUGUAGCAAAGAAUUUGAGGAAUAUUACAAAAAAACAUGGCAUAAAAAGGCACAAAACAGUCAGGUUCACCCCCCAGCAGAAUGGCUUGGCUGAAAGGAUGAACAUGACCUUGGUAGAUAAGACCAGAUGUAUGUUGAUAAAUUCAAAGCUUCCAAGAAGCUUUUGGGCAGAAGCUGUCAAUACAACAAGUUGUUUGGUUAACAGAAGCCCAUAUUCUGCAAUUGGCUUCAAAACACCAGAAGAAUUGUGGAAGGAAAAACCUGUAAAUUACCAAAAUCUCAGUGUUUUUGGAUGCCCUGCUUAUCUCCACAUCAAUCAAGGCAAGCUGGAAGCUAGGGCCUUGAAAGGAGUCUUUGUUGGAUAUCCUGAUGGGGUUAAGGGAUACAUAAUCUGGUGUAGAGAGUAAGGGAAGUGUAUAGUCAGCAGGGAUGUUGUGUUUCAUGAAUUUGGAUUGCUAAAAGAAAAUGCAGAGAAUGAUACUAGACUACAAAAUGAUUCAAUAAUUAUCAAACAAUCUGGAACUUCCAAGGUUAAGGUGGAGCUGUUUGGAAAUAAAGACAGUAGAAAAGAGGUAGCUGAUUAUGAAGAGAGGACCACAGCUAAAGUUGAGGAACAUGAGUCAUCAGAGUUGCCACAAGCUGACUUGCAGACUUAUCAGUUAGCAAGAGAUAGAGUUAGAAGAGAAGUCAAAGCACUAGUGAGGUAUGGCUAUGCUGACUUAAUUACUUAUGCAUUGUUGUGUGCUGAUGAUGUGGCAAUUGAAGAGCCUGCUAACUUCUCUGAAGUUAUUGAAAGUGUGCAUUGUGAUAAGUGGCUUGAGGCAAUGCAAGAUGAAAUGGGAUCCCUUCAAAGAAAUCAGACCUGGACACUUGUUCCAAAUCUAGGUAAUAAAAAGUUGAUCAGUUGUAAGUGGAUCUUCAAGAAGAAUGAAGGAAUUCCAGAUGUUGAACCUCCCAAAUAUAAAGCAAGGCUAGUGGCUAGGGGGUUUACACAGAGAAAGAGUGUAGAUUUCAAUGAAAAAUUUUCCCCUGUUCUUAAGCACAUUUCAAUAAGAAUUUUAUUAGUCAUGGUAGCCUUACUUGACUUGGAGCUUGAGCAAAUGGAUGUAAAAACAGCAUUCCUUCAUGGUAAUCUUGAAGAACAGAUAUUGAUGGCACAACCUAAAUGUUUUGAGUGCAAAGGAAAUGAGGAUUAUGUUUGUUUGCUGCAUAAGUCCUUGUAUGGACUCAAGCAAUCCCCACGACAGUGGUACAUAAGAUUUGAUGAUUUUAUGGUCUCAAAAGGCUAUCACAUAAGCAAAUAUGACAGUUGUGUUUACUUUGGUGGAUCAUAUCAAGGUGGAGUUGCUUAUUUGCUUCUGUAUGUUGAAGAUAUGUUAAUUGCAAGAAAAUAUAAGUUGGAGAUAGAGAGGUUGAAGAAAUGAAGGAUCUCGGCAAUGCCAAAAGAAUCCUUGGGAUGAACAUUACAAGGGGCAGAUCUGCUGACACUUUGUUCUUGAGUCAUGAGAAAUAUAUCAAGAAGGUUCUGGAGAGGUUUGAGAUGCAAGACUAUAAACCUGUCCAAACACCACUUGGUCCCCAAUUCAAGUUGACAGCAGCUCAAUCAUCAGAAGAUGAGUCUCAGGUGAGUGAAUUCCCAUAUGCACAGGUUGUAGGGAGCCUGAUGUAUGUAAUGGUAUGCACCAGGUCAGAUAUAGCUUAUGCAGUAAGUGUUGUCAGCAAAUUUCUCAGUUGUCUAGGCAAGGUUCACUGGAAUGUUGUAAAAUGGAUAAUGAGAUAUCUUAAGGGCUCUUUUACUUGUGGUUUGCUGUAUGGGAAGACUAAGAGUGACAUAAGUGAAGUCCUGGGGUUUGUAGACUCUGACUUUGCUGGAGAUCUUGAUAGAAUGAAGUCAACCUCAGGGUAUAUGUUUGUGUUAAACAGUUGCCUGAUUAGCUGGAAGUCAUCACUUCAGUCUGUGGUUGCUUUAUCCUCAACUGAAGCUGAGUUUGUUGCAACUACAGAGGCAGUAAAAGAGGCCAUGUGGCUAAGAGGUUUGCUUAAUGAGUUAUGGUUAAAUCAGAAAAUUGUUCAGGUUUUCUGUGAUAACCAAAGUGUCAUACACCUGGUAAAGAAUCAGAUGUAUCAUGAAAGAACCAAGCACAUUGAUGUGAAGCUCCAGUUUAUCAGAGAUGAGGUUGGAAAAGGAACUAUAAUUGUGUCCAAGAUCUAUACCAGUGUGAAUCCAACUGAUGUUAUUACAAAAGCACUUCCCACUGCAAAAUUUGAAUUCUAUGUGAAUCUAAUGGGCAUCUCGCCCAAACCUAACUAAAUUCAAUAGUGAAUUGUAGUUGAAUGAAGGUUUUUUAGGUGCUGUGUUAUUGAAAGGAUCAACUGAAUCAACUGCAAGGUGGAGAAUGUGAAGAUGUGUGUGUGGACUGAAAUGAAGAAUAUGAAAAAGUUGAGAGCUGUUGUGCAGAUUGACUUCAGUUGAUGGGGUCUAUUAGAUAUUGUCUGCUGACGUGGUAUGAAUUCGUUAUAAUCUGUUAUAACGAGUUCAAUAUAUCAGUAUAUAAUGGAGCUGAUGGAUGGUGCCUGUUUUAGAGUCUUUUUCGUAUUCAUUUGUUCAUCAUUUUGCACAAGAUUUGUUCCAUUGUGAUCUGUGUAAAGUCUUCUGUAAAUCCACUCAUGAUUGGAUUAGUUCUUGAUCAAUAACGAGUAAAUUUUCCUUCAAGUGUGCUGGUCUGUGCCCCUGUUUUUGGUUCUAAUAUUGUUUCUUUGUUUUGGCAUUUCAUUUCGAUUGUGUGCUUGGUGUUUCUACUCAUCAAGAUUUGUGAGUCUUGUUGAGAUUAAAGGCUUAAUAGUCUUAACAAAAGGGAAUGUAGCAUUGCCAUUAAUCAACAUUCACUCUUAUGACUUUAUGACAUUAGAAUUAAAAUCUUUCGUACAUUUAAUUUAUUUGCUUCCAAAUUAAUCUUUAAUAAAUAUUUUUUCACAUUAUCAUCAAUGGACAAAACUCCAACGAAAAUAACUACACGAGAACAAUUUAUGCUAGUAUUAAAUGCCACGAUAUCUAUAACUUUGUCUGGAUCGAUCAUUCUAAUUUUUUCGCAGAACUUUUUGUCAAUGGACAAACACCUCACAGAGCUUGUCAGCCGCAUUAUUACGAUGUAAAAUUGUACCGGAAUAUCUUGAAUUAUUAGUAGAAUAAUGAAGACUAUUUGGGGCAAUAAAAACAAAUAACGCAGAUAAAAAAAUGGCUAAAAUUAUGUAAGUGAGCCCCAAAGUUUUUGCUAUUUCCAGGAAAUCCCAAAUUUGAAUGGACUAGAGGGAGGCACGUAAGAAAUACAUUUUCUUCCUAGACAAUGACAGCUAUGACAUCAAGCCACGGUGGCGUCAGUAUUGAAAUUAAGGUGUAAUUAUUCAGCCAAUGAGCCUUACACAUCAAGAUAAAAGUCAAGAUAAUGAAAAUUUGGCUGUUUCCAUUUGAAGUUAAAAGCAACGUUUCUUUCGUUUUGUGGGCGACUCGACUGAGCACGCCCCAAUAGCUAUAUUUAGGGCGUCAAUUUGAUAUUUGAAUGGACAGGCAAGUAAGAAAUACAUUUCCUUCAUAGACAAUGACAACGAGGACAUCAAGCCACAUCAUUAUAGUUUGUAGCCCAUCUACAUUUAAACGAUUAAUAAACAAGCUUAGGUGUGCCACUGCUAUUAUUAAUUAUCCCCUGAUCAUUAUAGUUUCUGAAACAGUAAAACUAAACGAAAUUGAAUACAUCAACGAGACCGCAAUUAUCACUUGUUUAGUUGCGGUAUUUAACUUAAUUUUAAUAUAAUAUAUUUGUUAGUUAAACUUUUAAUAAUCAAAUAAUUUUGAUUUAAAAAUAAAAUUAUAGAAAUUAUUAAUUAUUAAUUAUUAAAAAUUCACAAUUAAGGGAACGUUCAUCAAACACACAUAGCUAUUGUUUUCUCUAUAUAUUGCAGUGUGUACGAUAUUGAGGGUUGAAGCCCCAAGCAUGCUCUAAAAUCCAGAUAAUAAUUAGAUCCGGGCCAAAUAUUCAUCAUUGUGUCAGCUGAUCAGUCGGUGGACAUCUCUAUUGAAAAUAUCUCUGACAUUUCACUCGACAAACUUAUUAAUAUAAAAAAUCUGUGGUUUUGCCGUCUGAAUAAUGUAGAAAAAUUUGUCUAUGCAUUAAUCUAGAUGUUUGAGGUGAUUUAUACAUCUGUGGUAAAGAUUUAUAGGUUGACUUAGACGUCUGUGGUAUAGAUUUUAUGUAUUUCAUUACAAAAUGCUGGCCGUUAGAACCCUUUCUACAUCUAUUUAUAAGAUUAACGGGUGCCAGCUAUGCCAUUACAAAUUAUCCCCUCAUCAGAUAUUUCGUUAAAAUUCAUUCUGAAACACUAAAACUAAAUAAUCGAAUAUGGCUUUGCGGGUCGAUGAUGCCAGCAGCAAUGAGACUGCAAUUAUCACUUGUUUAGUUUCUGUGCUGGCCGUGGUUUACUUCGCAUGGAAUGUGAAAAAAUCAAGGAAAGCAAAUGCUACACUGCCACCAGGACCUCGCGGCUUGCCUGUAUUCGGAUACCUCCCAUUUCUUGGAACUACUGACUUGCACAAGAAAUUCACGGAAUUAUCCGGAGUUUAUGGUCCGAUCUUCAAGCUUUGGCUUGGAAAUAAAUUAUGUGUAGUGGUGAGCUCACCUUCCCUAAUUAGACAAGUGGUUCGUGAUCAAGAUACAACAUUCGCGAACCGUGACCCACCGAAGGCUGCACUAGUGGUCUCCUAUGGUGGCAAUGAUAUUGCAUGGUCCAAUUACGGUCCCGAAUGGAGAAAGUUGCGCAAAUUUUUUGUGGGCAAGAUGAUGAAUAACGCAAGCCUUGAUGCUUGUUAUGCUCUAAGAAGACAAGAGGUUAAAAAUACUAUCAGGGAUUUGUAUAACAACGACAACAAAAUUGGCAAGCCCAUUGACAUUGGUGAAUUGUCGUUUUCAACAUUGGUAUGUGCUAUACAGAACAUGCUGUGGGGUGAAGCGCUUGAAUUAAAAGAGAAAGGGACCACUAAUCUUAGGGCUGGGCUAAAAUUUAAGCUGGCAGAACUCAUGGUGCUUGCGGGAACACCGAAUAUUUCGGAUGUCUUUCCAAUGCUUUCAUGGCUUGACAUACAAGGUAUAGAGAGGAGAGCAAAGAAGAUUUCACUCUGGCUUGAUAAUGUUAUAAAUUCUACUGUUGAACAGCAUAGAAACAAGGAGUUAACUGUUGAAGGUGAAGAAAGAGCGGGGAAAAAUUUUGAAGGAUCAAGGAACAAGAACUUCUUGCAGUUACUAUUGGAGCUUCAAGAAAAUGAUGACAGUGCUUCCUCAAUUAGCAUGAACCAAUUCAAGGCCGUACUCGCGGUAUGUUAAGCAACUAGCCACGAACAGUUAUACAAGCACAAUUGUAUAUUUGCAUGAGUGAUAUUUUCAACCUUUUUUUUUAAUUAGAAUUUUAUUGUCACCUUUUGGACAGGAUAUAAUUACGGCUGGAACCGACACCACAACUACGAUGGUGGAAUGGACAAUGGCAGAGUUGAUGCAGCAUCCACAAGUAAUGAAGAAAGUUCAGGAAGAAUUAGCUCAAGUUGUGGGCAUGGACAGUUGUGUUGAAGAAUUUCACCUGUCUAGAUUAAUGUAUUUAGAUGCUGUGGUGAAGGAAACAUUUCGUCUGCAUCCUGCAGUGCCUUUAUUACUACCACGUAGGGCAAGCGAGAGUGGCAACAUUGGUGGCUAUACCAUUCCCAAAGAUACAACUCUUAUGUUGAAUGUUUGGGCUAUCCACAGGGACCCUCACCUUUGGGAUAAUCCCUUAGAAUUUCGACCCGAGAGGUUUCUGAAUGUUGGUAUCGAGAGUAAGUUCGAUUACUCAGGUAACAAUUUUCAGUACUUGCCAUUUGGUUCUGGUAGAAGGAUGUGUGCUGGGAUUCCUCUAGCUGAGAGGAUGCUGAUGUUUGUUUUGGCUUCGUUAUUGCACUCAUUCGAGUGGGAAUUGCCAACUGGCACAAAGCUAAACUUAUCAGAAAAAUUUGGGAUUGUCAUUAAGAAAAAAGAGCCUUUGGUUGCUAUUCCAACACCAAGACUAUCCAAUUCAGAGCUCUACCAUUAAGACCAAAUGGUUGUGAUGAUUUUGUUAAUUUCCGAAGAUUUGUAUGUUAUUUCAAGUUCAAUCGUAGUAAAAUAUUUCAAAUAAGAGUCCUCCGUUGCUUUUUUUUUUUUUUUUCAACGGCAUAAUCUGUGGUCAUGCUUGUAUUUGGAGCCACUUUAGAAAAAUUAUGUUUGAAUUACAAUUUAUAAAUAUUACAUUUUAAAAUAUUAUGAGGCUAAAUUUAUACACGUUCAAUAACCCGCUUCAUAUAUAUUUAACACAAUUUAUAUCAUACAUUGUACACCCAUUUAUCAUAAAUUACACUAUUUUGUAUCUCUAAAUAAUAUUACGUAUUGAUAUUAUAAAAUAUAUAUGGAAAAGAGAACAAAGAAGAUUUCUUAUGGUUUGAAAAUAUUAUGAAUUCUGCUGUUGAACAGUAUGGAAACAAGGUCUCUGUUGUUAAAGGUGAAGAAGCAACAGGGAACAAUAUUGAAGGAAGAAAUUUCACAUGUUUAGUUGCUGAAUUUGCCGCUGUAUUCUAUCGGUAGUAAAAAAAUUAGAGUUUUUAUUUUUCUCUAUUAAUGUUAAGUCAAUUUUCUAUAACAAAUUCGGUUGAGUUUAAUUGUGUUACAAUAUAAAUUGAAUGAUAAUAGAAUUUUCAACGAAUAUUUCAAUAUUUCUAUCUCGAUUGUUGAAGUGCCAUUUAUUUGUUAUGCGAUCGAUUUUAAAAUUUAUAAAAAUUAUUUGUUACUAAAUUGCAUCAUAUGCUAAAAUCACCUGAAACCUAAUUCCAUAACUAACCCUUUAUUUUUAGUUCUCAAGAAAUCUUGUAAGAACAAAAUUCUUUUAUAACAAAACUUUUACAACACAUUAAUUUGUAACUCAUUCCUGUGCGAGAAUCACUCUCAAAUUCCUUCAAUUGCUGUUGAACAAUCAUCUGCUUAUCAAAAUUCAAGCAUAAUCUUUUCUUUUUUUUAAUUUCUUCAUCAUUCUUUUGAAAAAAAAAAAUCAGGAUAUGCUGUUAAAAUUUUGAAAUAAAUUAUCUCAAAAUAAUUACUAACCAGAAAAAACAAAGGGGUUUAACUAGGUUAUGCAUACCUUUGAAAAUUAUAUGUUGAUCGAUAAGAAUGAUGAUCACGAUUGAGGAGUUUAAUUAAAAUAUAUAAGAUUUUAAAAUUAAUCAGGGUUAAAUUGUGAAUUUUAGAAAGAGAGGUUUUGUGAGAAUGCUGAAAGGGUGUUAAUAGUUCCACUCUUUUUAAAAGCAACCAUAGUCAUCAUUUUUCCCGAUUUCUUCUUCCCAUCUCCAUCUUAUUUAGAAAUUUCCCAGAGCCUUUGUUUCCCACCUUUCAUUGUUCUUCUUUCUAAUUUAAUACUAUAGGAUUACAAAAAUAAUUACUCACAUUUUAUCAAACACCUCCAUUCUACCAAGGCCUUGUUUUAGUAGUAGGCUUUUAUUAUCUCAAUAAAAUUGAAAAAACAAAUCUCAAUAAUAUUGGAAAAAAAAAACCUACCCAUAUUUGUAACUUUAAUUUAUUAUUCUCCAUAGACCUACUUUUUAGCUUUGAAUUUUGUUGGAGCCAUAUAUAAACAGAAUAUGUUGAAUCAGCACCAAAAAAAAAAAAAAAAAACUAAUUAUAUAAUUUCUGUUCCCAAGGACAUGACUGAUUGAUUUUCAAGAAGUUUUGUUUGGCUGGCUACUUAGGUUUAAAUCUUGGUGGAGAUUAGGGGUUAAGAAAUAAAUUUGGACUUUGCACACCCCUUUAACUUUUAAAAAGAAAUGAAAAAAACUAAUUAAUUAAUCUUUAUUUUAUUUAUUAAAUAUCAUAAUCCUAUGCGUAUUUUAUUUGUUAUCUUUCUAUUUAAAAGACAGGAGGGCAGAUAAAACUGAAAUAAAUUUUUAGCCCUAUCUCCAUCUUUCAAGUUCCAUAGUUAGGUGACCAGGUAAAGAAAAUUAAUUGAAAGCUACUCCAUCAAAUUAAAAAAUUUUAUUUAUUUAAUUUGUGGAGAUGUAGAAAAUCAAACCCCAUGCCUUUUCGCGUGGAAAAGUGUCAACCUGGUCUAGCUAUGUUGCAAAAGUGAACAUAUUUUAAUACAUGACUAUCAUCCUUUAUCCUAAAUACUACUAUAACUAAUAACAUACAAUUGAAAUAAUUAAUGUUAACACUUGGCUAUAAAUAAAGGUUUUGUGCUUGAAUCUUCACGCAUGACCUUCAUUCCUUUAUUUACUUUGCUAACACAGAUUUUGAGGCAUUAAAACUAAAUAAUAAUUGACUUUGUGGGCCGAGGAUGCCAGCAACAAGGAGACCACAAUUAUCACUUGUUAAGUUACUCUAAUUGCCGUUGUCUUAUAUUCAUAGAAUAUUAGUAAUAAGAUUAUUGUAGAAUUUUUUUAUAUUAAAAUUAAGUCAAUUUGUUAUAACAAAUUUAGUUGAGUUUAAUCGUGUUACCACAUAAAUUGAAUAAUAAUAAAAUUCUCGACAAAUAUUUCAAUAUUUUUAUCCCAAGCGUUGGAGUGGCAUUUAUUUGUUAUACGAUCAAUUUUAGAAUUUAUAAAAUUAUUCGUUACUGAAUUGCACCAUAUGCUGCAUGACCUGAAACUUAAUAAACGGAACGUAGCGUUGGCACCGUUACUCAACAUACUGUUACGACUUUGUGACAUUAGAAUUAAAAUCUUUUGCACAUUUAAUUUGUUUACUUCCAAAUUAAUAUUUAACAAAAUAUUUUUUCACAUUAUCAAUGGACAAAACUCCAACGAAAAUAACUACACAAGAAAAAUGUAUGCUAGUAUUGUGUGCCAUAUCAUCUGUAAUUUUGUCAGGAUCGAUCAUUCUAAUUUUUAAGCAGAACUUUUUAUCAAUGGACAAACACCUCACACAGCUUGUCAGAGGCAUUAUUAUGAUGGAAAACUGUAAUGGUAUAUCUUGAAUUAUUGGUAGAAUAGUUCUUUGGAGCAAUAAAAACAGAUAAGACAGAUGAGAAAAUUGUCAAUACCCCACCGCAAAAGCAAAAGAAAAAAAGGAAAGGAGACAAAAGAGGAAGAAGAAAAAGAAAAAAGAACGAAGAAAAAAAUGGUGCCGCGCGGUAUAGGCAAGAAGAAAAAAUAAUAAUAAAAUAAUAAAAUAAUAGUGCACAACAGUCAUUUGAUUGCUAUAAAUAAAGGGGCAUUUCCCUCAUUUUAUUCAUCGAAUUCUUCAGUUCCUAAGCGAUUUAAGAGUCUAGUGAUUUGAGAGUUUGGGUAUAGUAUAGUUUUGAGUAGUGAGUUAAAAUAUUACAAUACUUAUAACUUAUUUUUACUAAUAAAAUAUUUUUCUUCUAUCUUCACCCGUGGACGUAGGGUCAAAGCCGAAUCACAUAAUUUUUAGUAUCCCUAUGUGAUUAUGUAUCUCAUUAUUUUUCAAUUUUACUUUAGUUACGUGUCUGCUACAUCCUUCAAUUUACUAACAAAAAUGGCCAAAAUUAUAUAAGUGACCCAAAUUUUUUUGCUAUUUCCAAGAAAUCUCCAAUCUGAAUGGGCCAGACCAGAGGGAGGCAAGUUAGAAAUACGUUUCCUUCAUAGACAAUAACAGCGAUGAGUCGAUGACAUCGAGCCACGUCGGUAUCAAUAUUGAAUUAAAGGUGCAAUUAUUCAGCCAAUGAGCCUUACACAUCAAGAUAAAAGUCAAGAAAAUGAAUAUUUAUCCUAAUUAAAACACUUUCUGGCUGCAUUUAGUUGUUUCCAUUUGAAGUUAAAAGCAACGUUUCUUUCGUUUUGUGGGCAACUCGACUCAGUUAGCUGGCUUCUAGUGCUAGUAAGUGAAAAUAGAAGGCUAAUGAUUUAUUUGUUAUCUUUUGAUAAAAUUAUUAAAGAUAUAAUAGAUUUUUCAUGAUACAAAUAAAAAAUCACAUCAACAUAGCUUCCAAAGUACAACAGCUAAUGUUUACCAAACACUUUGUUGUAGCUUUUAAGCUACAGCUGCCCAACUUUAAUUUCAAAUGCACCCUUAAUAGGUUGAUUGAAUUUGUGGGAUAUAGAUUCCACAUAUCGUAUGACCUAGUAACUAUACAAGUGGUUCGUGAUCAAGACACAACAUUUGCUUCCGGCCCGGUGACCCAGCAAUCGCUGCAUUGGUCGCCACCUAUGGUGCCAACGAUAUUGCAUGGUCCAAUUGUGGCCUUGAAUGGAAAAAGUUGAGCAAAUUAUUUGUGGACACGAUGAUAAGUAACGCAAGCCUUGAUGCUAGUUAUGGUCCAAGAAAACAAGAGAUAUGCAUAACAACAAAAAGGAAAAAAAAAAAAAAAAAAAAAAAGGCAUUUGCAAGCCCAUUGAUAUUGGUGAAUUGUCGAUUUCAACUUUGGCAUGUGUAAUCCAGAGCCUGCGCGCUGUGGUGUGGCGCUGGCACGCUUGCAUUGACGAGGGGACAAGUCUUGGGGCUGAGCUAACAUUUAAGCUCGCAGAACUCAUGGUGCUAAUGGGAACACCAAAUAUUUUUUGACAUAUUUUGGUGCUUUCAUGGUUUAAUUCAAGGUAUAGAAAGGAGUGUUGAGAAUGUCAAAUAAAACGGUAUUGAAUGGAAGUUGUUAAAGACACGAUCCGCACCGAACGACAACAGCACGGUUGCUAAAAAUCCUUCCGUAAUAGGCAUAUCUAAUUUUUGAAAAAGUGUAACCUCUACAUUUAUAAAUAUACUCAAUGUAUAAUGUUUUACUUAAGAAAUGAAAAACUUGUUUGUUCAAGGAGAAUAAAGAAAAAUUUUCUAUGAUUUUUCUAUGGUUUGAACAAAGAAGGUUUUAACGAGUAUUAUAGACCUCGAUUGAAUGUUCGAAUGUAUAAUAAAAGAGAAACUGUCACAUAAAUGACAAAGAUACUUGAAAAAAAAAAAAAAGGGCAGCAAUAGAGAAUUAGAUCCGACUGUACAAAUAACUAGUUAAUUCAUCGAUACAUCAUUUUCUUGCUAGAAAAUGACAAUUAUGACAGCAAGCCACGAUAGUGUCAAUAUUGAAAUUGAUUUGCAAUUAUUCAGCCUAUGAGCCUUACACGUCAAGAUAAAAGUCAAGAAAAUGAAAGUUAAUAUCAAUUAAAACACUUCCAUUUCUAUGUGAAGUUAAAAAACAACGUUUCUUUUGUUUUGUGGGGGAUUCAACUGAGCACGCGCCACUAGCUAGCUGGCUUCUAGUUCUAGCAUAUGAAAACAGAAUUCUAAAGAUUUCACUUUCACCUUUUUUCUUUUUUUGGGGUUUUGAAUCAAAGUCAAGGUCGCACUGAAUAAUAUGUAAAAUUUGAAAAAGAAGAAUUAAUAGAGAACAAAGUUUUGUUUUAAAUUCACAUGGUGUGCAUACAAUUCAACAAACACUUCCUAUAAUAAAUCUGGAGUUGUAUCCCACGUUGAACAAUAAAGGAAAGUCACCUAAAUAUACAUGUAGGAUAAGUUACUUUAUUUAGUAAGUUUGUAUUUUCUUCUUUCUUCUAGUUUACAUAUAAAUUUGAUUAGAUAACUUAACACAUAUUUUAAUACUUGAUCAGAAGCCCGACGUACAGGUGGAUCUAGAAACUUGAUUUCUAAGAGUAAUACUAUAAUAAAAAAAUAAUGAUUCAUAGAACCAAUAUCAAAAUUUGUUUACAAGAUUGCCCCCACUCAAAGGUAAUUUUCAUAGAAAUUAAUAGGAAAUUUAAUUGUUAGUGGGGUCAAAUUGCCCCCACACUCUGAAUGUAGAUCCACGCCCGACCCUGAGUCAAGUAUAUUUUGCCACAUAUACUCUGAAUGUCGGCAGGAAAAAUCUUCCACUUUAGUUAAAAAUUUUCACUUAAAAAAUAUUUAUGUUAAUAAAGUUCGUAAAGGAAAUGAGUUUAAUUAAUGAAUAUUAUAGGAGAAAUUAAAGGAAAUGAGUUUAAUUAAAGAAUAUUAUAGGAGAAAUUCUAUUGUUCGGCUUUUAAUAAAUUAAUUAAUAGGUUUAAAAGAUUAAUAUACAUCAAAAUAUUAUUAGUUGGUGGGGGUUCCACAUCGGACUAAUACGUGUCACCUUACUUGUGAGAUUAAGACAAUCGACUUAGACUAUUUAAAUAUGUUUGAAGCUUAGAUGGCACCGCUUCAAUUUGCAUUACUGAAUGUCAUUCUUUAUCCUAAUUACUACCGUAAUUGAUAACAUGCAAUUGAAGUAACUAAUAUUAGCACUUGGCUAUAAAUGAACUAAAGGCCGUGCAAUUGAAUCUUUACUUGAUCACUUCACUCCUUUAUUUUGCUAACACAGAUUUUGAGAUAUUAAAACGAAAUAAUAAUUGAAUCUGGCUUUGUGGGUCGAUGAUGCUAGCAAAAACGAGACCACAAUUAUCACUUGUUUAUUUGCUGUAUUUGACGUUGUUUCAUAUUGGUAGUAAUAGGGUCAGUUUUUAAUCUUUUUAUAUUAAAGUUAAGUCAAUUUGUUAUCAAAAAAAAAAAUUGGUUGAGUUUAAUUAUAUUGCUAUGUACAUUAAAUAAUUAUAAUAUUCUUGAGGGAAAAAGACACCUAGAACCUCAAGGUUUGGGGAAAUGGUCACAAAGACUCCUAAGUUUUAAAAAAGGAACACUAAGAUCUUUUUUUACCCAUAAUACCCUUUGACUAGAGUAAUUAAAAAAUUGACUUUAAAGGUUUUUAAAUAAUUCUAAUUUAAUAUAAAUCAUAUAAUCUAUCUAGUAAACUAAUAAUAUUAAAUUAUUUUUUAUAUUUAAAAUAAUGUUAAAUUUUAAAUUAUUAUAUUUAUAAAAUUAUAAAGAUUUUAAAUAAAUAUUUGGAUUGAAUAUAUUUUACAAUUAAAAGUCUUCCUAUUAAUAAUAUUAAAAUUUAAUUUUACAAAAUAUAUAUUCAAAAUAUUUUUAAUUUUAAUUUAUUUAUUUUAAUAUUAUGUUUCUACCUAUUAUUAAAAAUUACUUUAAUAUAAUAAAAUAGGUCUAAUAGAUUGAAAAAUAUGAAAAUAUUUUUAAAAUUUUAAAUUAUUUUGAAAUGUAUAUAUUAUUACAUUUAUUUCAAUGUCAUAUUUUCAUUUAUUAUAAAAUUUUGGGGUUAUUUUUUUGGGAAUUUAUAGAGUCAAAGAGCAUUAUAAUUUAAUCCAUGCACAAUAUCUAUAAUUAUAUCGGUUGUCGGCUGAUUUCGUGGAGGGGGCGGCAGUUCAAAAUUUUUACGUGCAUGUUGGAUGGACGUCUCUAUUAAAGGAGAGCCACCACUUGCAUGGUAAUUUUUUUAAAUAAAUAUAUACAUUUCAAAACAUUAUUUUCUUGUUGUAUAGUUAACAUGUCACCUUAGAUGUAUUUUAGAGCUUCUCCUAUUAAAGAUAAUCUCAUGCAGUGUUACAGAGUAUGGUAAUAUGGUAUAGAUGAGAGCAUCUGAUUAAAUGAAGCAGCUGGUAAUGCUUACGUGUGUGAGUUAGUUAUCCAGCUCAGCAGCAAAGCAAACGAAAUGAAUUGCAUGCAUAUUAGAUCCAACAAACUGGUAAACUCUAGAUUCUUCUUUCAUUUAGUAUAAAUACCAAGUUGUUAUCAUUUGCUAAAUAUAUAAUAAGAUGAUCAUUUUCAGAUCUUUCCUUUAUAAUUUUCUAUAACUUUCUCGUUAGUUUCUCUUGAACCAAACACUUUGUACGAACUCUUUCGUGCAGUGAUACUUCUCGUGAUCUAAUCAUUAGUAGAAUCUAUAAUUUCGCUACUGUAAUAAAAUCUGUCACUACCCUAUAUGAAUGUAGAUAUUUGACGCGAUUUGUAAUUGCUUCCGACAGGAAAACAGCAAUAGUUUUAUUGAAAUUUGUGGUAUAGAUUCCACGAAUCUUAUGACAGAAUACUGACCACUCCAACCCUAUCCGCAUUUACACGAUUAAUACACAAGCUUAGAUGUGACAAUGCAUUUGUCACUCAUUCAAAUUCAUCCUGAAACACUAUACACUAAAUAAUCGAAUAUGGCUUCGUGGGUCGAUGAUGCUAGCAGCAACGAGACUGCAAUUAUCACUUGUUUUGUUGCUGUACUUGUCGUGGUCUAUUUCGCAUGGAAUGUAAACAAAUCAAGUAAAGCAAAUGCUAAAUUGCCACCAGGACCUCGGGGCUUGCCAGUAGUCCGAUACCUCCCAUUUCUUGGAACUACUGACUUACACAAGACAUUCACGGAGUUAUCUGGAGUUUAUGGUCCGAUCUUCAAGAUUUGGCUUGGGAAUAAAUUGUGUGUAGUGGUGACCUCGCCUACCCUAGUUAAACAAGUGGUCCGUGAUCAAGAUAUAACAUUCUCAAACCGCGACCCACCGAUCGCUGGAACUGUGACCACCUACGGUGGCAAUGAUAUUGCACUUUCCAAUUACGGUCCCGAAUGGAAAAAGUUGCGAAAAUUAUUUGUGAGCAAGAUGAUGAGUAAUGAGACCCUUGAUGCUUGUUAUGCUCUAAGAAAACAAGAGGUUAAAAAUACUAUCAGGGAUUUGUAUAACAACAAUAAGGAUAAUAUUGGCAAUGGCAAUGGCAAGCCCAUUGACGUUGGUGAAUUGUCGAUUUCAACUUUGGUACGUGUUAUGCAGAACAUGCUGUGGGGUCAAGCAUUGGAAACAAGAGAGAAAGAGAUUACUAAUCUCGGGGCUAAUCUUGCAGAACUCAUGGUGCUACUGGGAACACCAAAUAUUUCGGAUAUUUUUCCAGUGCUUUCAUGGCUUGACAUGCAAGGUAUAGAGAGAAGAGCUAAGAAGAUUUCUCUAUGGUUUGAAAAUAUUAUCAAUUCUGGUGUUGAACAGUAUAGAAACAAGUUCUCUGUUGUUAAAGGUGAAGAAGCUGCAGCACGAAAAAAUAUUGAACGAUCAAGAAAUAAGGACUUCUUGCAGUUGCUGUUGGAGCUUCAGGAAAAUGAAGAUAGUGCUUCAUCUAUUAGCAUGAACCAACUAAAGGCCGUGCUCGUGGUAUGUUAAGCAACUAGACACAAAAAGUUGUAAAAGCACAGCGAUAUAUUUGCGCGAGGCCCCGAGUGAUGUUUUGCCUCGAGAACUCUCAAUUUUAUCUUACGGUAAAAAAUGUUUUUCAACUUUUUUUUUUAAUUAGAAUUUUAUUGCAAUUUAUUUAACAGGACAUAAUUGUGGCCGGAACCGACACCACAACUACGAUGGUGGAAUGGACAAUGGCAGAGUUGAUGCAACAUCCACAAGUAAUGAAGAAAGUUCAAGAAGAAUUCGCUCAAGCUGUGGGCAUGGACAGUUGUGUUGAAGAAUAUCACUUGCCUAAAUUAAAGUAUUUAGAUGCUGUGGUGAAAGAAACAUUUCGUUUGCAUCCUGCGUUGCCCUUAUUGGUACCUCGCACGGCAAGCAAGAAUAGCAACAUUGGUGGCUAUACCAUUCCCAACGACACUAAUCUUAUGUUGAAUGUUUGGGCUAUCCACAGGGACCCUCAACUUUGGGAUAAUCCCUUAGAAUUUCGACCUGAGAGGUUCUUGAAUGAUGGUAUCAUAAGCAAUUUCAAUUACUCGGGUAACAAUUUUCAGUACUUGCCAUUUGGUUCUGGUAGAAGGAUGUGCGCUGGGAUUGCUCUAGCUGAGAGGAUGUUGAUGCUUGUUCUGGCUUCGUUGUUGCACUUGUUUGAGUGGAAAUUGCCCUCGGGCACAAAGCUAGACUUAUCUGAAAAGUAUGGGAUUGUCAUGCGGAAAAAAGAGCCUCUAAUUGCUAUUCCAACACCAAGGCUACCAAAUUCAGAUCUCUACCAGUAAGAUCAAAAUGGUUUUGAUAAUAUUAUUUCCCAUUGUAUUGGAUUUGAAGUUCAAUCAUAAUAAAAUAUUUUAAUAAAAUGUCCUCGGUUGCUAAUUUUUCAAUAGUAUAAUCUGCACCUGUCUUUUAUAGCAAUUUGGUCUAAUUUAUUUUUGAAUUAAAAUCCAUAAAUAUUUAUAUUUUUUUAAUUAUAUUAGGAAUUAUGUGGGGUGUAUGGUCUGAUCUUCGAGCUAUGCCUUGAAAACAAAUUAUGCAUAGUCGUGCACACGCUUUCCCUAAUUAAGUUUGUGGUUCGUGCUCAAGGCACAGCAUUCACCCCCCGCGACCCAACAAUCGCUACAUUGUUCCCCACCUAAAGUGCCAACAUAUUGCAUAAGUAACGCAAAAUAUGGUCCCCAAUGGAAAACGUUGCGCAAAUUAUUUCUGGGCAAGAUGAUAAGUAACGCAAGCCUUGAUGCUUGUUAUGGUCUAAGAAAACAAGAGGUUAAAAAUACUAUCAGAGACAUAUAUAAAACAACAACAGAAAAAAUUGGCAUUAUCAUCGAUAAUGGUGAGUUGUGGAUUUCAACUUUGGUAUGUUUAAUUCAGAACCCGCAGUGGGGUGGCGCUAGCACGCCUGCGUUAGGAGACGAGGGGACCAAUCUUGGGGCCGAGCUAAAAUAUAGGCUUGUAGAGCUCAUGCUGCUAAUGGUAAUGGGAACACCUACUAUUUCGGAUACUUUUCCGAUGCUGGUUUAAUUCAUGGUUUAGAAAGGAGAACAAAGAAGAUUUUUCGAUGCUUUGAAAAUAUUAUAAUUUUUAUAAAAUCUCUUAUUGAUAACUAAACAACUAAAAUUUCUGUAAAGUUUUUGUGGACUUUUGAUCUCCUAUGGUGCCAAUAUUUUCGACUAAUUUUUUCCUUCAAUUAAUGAUGUUGGUUGAGAAAGACUAUUUUUCUUGCAAUAAUAUAGUAUUCGUGGUCCUAUUAGGGUUCCGAAUGGAGAAAGUUGCACUAAGUUUUUUGAGUACCAAAUGAUGAGUAAUGUACGUAAGCCUUGAUGGUAGUUAUGGUCUAAGAAAACAAGAGGUUAAAAAUACUAUCUGGGAUUUGUACAACAAUAACAAAAUUGGCAAGCCCAUUGACAUUGGUGAAUUGUCAGUUUCAACCUUGGUAAGUGUUUUCAGAACAUGCUGUGGGGUGAAGCGCUUGGAAUAAGAAAGAAACGGAUGACGAAUAUUGGGGCUGAGCUUAGAUUUAAACUUGCAGAACUCAUGGUGCUGUCAGGAACACCGAAUAUUUCGGAUAUCUUUCCAGUGCUUUCAUGGUUUGAUAUACAAGGUUUUGAGAGAAUAGCAAAGAAGAUUUCUCUAUGGUUUUAAAAUAUUAUCAAUUCUACUGUUGAACGCUAUAGAAACAAGGUCUCAGUUGUUAAAAGUGAAGAAGAAGACGCAGCAGCAGCAGCAGCAGGGAACAACAUUGAAGGAAGGAAUAAGGACCUGGUGCAGUUACUCUUGGAGCUUCAAGGUAAAGAAGAAAAUGCUUCAUCAAUUAACAUGACGCAAUUUAAGAGCUUGCUCGUGGUAUGUUUGCGCAACUAGCCACAGACAGUUACAGAAACUGAGUUUGGCAGAUUACGACCGUUUCUGGUGAUUAUAUAACUAUUUGUGGCUGUUUUUUGUUUUUUUUUUCUUUUAAUUGGAAUUUUAUUGUAAAUUUCUUAACAGGAUAUAAUUUAGGGUGGAACCAACACCACAACUAUAAUGGUGGAAUGGACAAUGGCAUAAUUGAUACAGCAUCCACAAGUAAUGGAGAAUGUAAAGGUAGAACUAAGUCGGGCCGUGGCCAUUGACAGCCAUGUUGAAGAAUUUCACCUACCUAAGUUAAAAUAUUUAGAUGUUGUGGUGAAAGAAACAUUCCGCACGAUAAUAUAAUAUAUGAAUCAUAUAUCCUCUAUUGGUUUUUUGCUCCUUUUUUUUUCAAUAGCUUAAUCUAUCAUUAAAAUCUUCUGAAAUUCUAAAUUAAUAUACAUUCAACCUAGAGUUCAACCCAAAGUUUUAUUGAGCAUUAAAAAAAAAAAUUCUACGACUAAAAAUUUUACAGAGUAUAAAUUAAAAAUUAUGCGCCUACUAACAGACAAAAAACAAUUGAUACACAUUCACCAAUCAAAGGCAAACAAGAGAUUAUUAACAAUAACUUAAUAAUAAAAUUAUAAGGAAUCAAAUAGAAAUGGUACCUAGAAACACAUCACGCCAUUUAAUCAAUCACUUACCCAUAAAAUCCAAACUUAUAAACUAUUAAGGGGGGGAAAUGGAUACCUUUGGGUUUCAUUAAAUCAAAAUUACAACACCAUUAAAUACUCAAAAAUGAAAAAAAAAAAAUCAUACCCAAUAAAAGAGAAAAAAAUAACCCACAAAAAAAAUCAUCAAGAAAAUAAAUUUGAGACUAAGAGAAGAUAUUAAUUAACGCCUGGGUUGCAUUGGAACCACGGCUUUGGCUUCCAUUUUUCAAUUCUUGGUCACAAGUGAUUUCUUGUUUGUUUGCAAUGAUGACGGUUGAUUAAUGAAGCUCUAUUAACAAUGAAUGAAUCAAAAAACUUGAGCCUUGAAAAGACUAACGGUCAUAUUUUUCAACUCCGAAUUAGUGGCGUUUGAUGAGUCCUUGCCAAAACAAUCACUCGGCAGAUAACGAUCAUUUUUCAACCAGCAAAACUCAUUCAUUGUUUUUCACCUUAGUGAAGAUUUAAAAAUUGUUUCAAAAUAGGAUUCUUAAAAAAAUAAUAAUAAAAUGAUAUUUAACUUAAUUCUAACUUAGGAAAACAAAAUAUCUACACUCCCAAAGUUUGGAGAAAUGGUCAUUAAUAUCCCCAACUUUCCAAAAAGAGACACCAAGAACCCUUUUAACCAUAAUACUAUUUACUUCUAUUAUCCCAAAAAACAAUUGACUCUAAUAUUUUAUAAUAAAUAAAAAUAUAACAUUAAAAUAAAUGUAAUAGUAUAUACAUUUUAAAAUAGUUUCAAUAUUUAAAAAGCAUUUUAAUAUUUUUAAAUUCUAUUUUAUAUAUAUUGAUUAUUUUAAAGUAAAUUUUAUAAUAAAUAGAAUCAUAAUAUUAAAAUAAAUGCAUUAAAAUUUAAAUUAUUUUGAAUAUUAUGUAAAAUAAUAAUUUUAACAUUAUUAGUAUAUGAGAAUUUUUUUAAUUGUAGAAUGCAUUUAAUGCAAAUAUUUAUUUAAAAUCUCUACAAUAAAUAAAAAUAUACUAUUAAAACAAAACUCUACAAUACAUACAUACAUACAUAUACAUUGGCCUGGUAUUUUUAUUUUUCAUUUUUAAACUUAUUAAAUCCUCUAACUAUCAUUUGAUUUUUUUUUUUUUUCAAUGAUCAAGAGGUCAUUGCCGGAUAAAUGAUUAAAAUCAACUAGUUCUACAAGAAUAUCUCUUUUUAAAGGAAGAUGAUUCUCUCUCUCGAAAUUUUUUUAUCUCGUGCUACAAACUAAAAACUUAUGCCACUUCAUUAACCACAAAGAUCUUUGAGGAAAUGAUGCUUCCCUCCCCCCCCCCCCCCCCCCCCCUCCCACAAAAAAAAAAAAGAGUCCUUCCAUAUUGUGUGAAGGCUAAUAUAUCGAUGAAUCUAGAUUUCUUUAAAUUUUUUGUUUUACUCAAUUCGAGAUAAUAAUUCAAUCCAUGCAAAUAUCUAUCAUUGUAUGAGCUGACCAGUUAAUAGGUUGAUUGAAUAUAUGUGGUAAAGAUUCCACGUAUCUCAUGACAGAAUGCUGACCACUGGAACCCUAUCUACUUUUACGCGAUUAAUUCACGAGCUUAGGCACAACAAUUGCAAUACAAAUUAUCCCCUCAUCGUAUAUUUCGUUAAAAUUCAUUCUGAAGCAGUAAAACUAAACAAUCGAAUAUGGCUUUGCGGGUCGAUGAUGCCAGCAGCAAUGAGAGUGCAAUUAUCACUUGUUUAGUUUCUGUGCUUGCCGUGGCUUAUUUCGCAUGGAAUGUGAAAAAAUCAAGGAAAGCAAAUGCUAAACUGCCACCAGGAACUCGCGGCUUGCCUGUAGUCGGAUACCUCCCAUUUCUCGGGACUACUGACUUGCACAAGAAAUUCACGGAAUUUAUUUUACUAUUAUAUUUAUAUUCAAAAUAAUUUUAAUUAGCUUUUAAAAUGAAUGAUUUUAGGAAAUUAUAAAUAAAGGUAACUAAGAAUUCUCUUAAUGCAAUAUAUUAUUAAUUAGUUUAAAAAUACAAAUUUAUUAAUUAGAGAAAUUAUUAGUGAAUUUAAAUUAAUGAUCUUAAUGAUUUGUUUGUACGAUUGCCCCCAAUCAAAGGUAAUUUUCCUAAAAAUUAUUAGGAAAUUAGAGAAAUUUAAUUUUUUUUAGUGGGUUCAAUUGCCCACACACCCCGACUGAAGCAUUUUUUACAAUAUGUACUCCGUUUGUCGGCAGGAAAAUAAAGGUCUUGACACAUGAUCACUUCAUUCCUUUAUUUACUUUGCGAACGCAGAUUUUGAGGUAUUAAAACAAAUAAUAAUUGAAUAUGACUUUGUGGGUCGACGACGCCAGCAACGAGGAGACCGCCAAUUAUCACAUUUUAAGUUUGCUGUAAUUGCCAUUGUUUUAUAUUAGUAGAAUAUUAGUGAUAAGAUAAUUGUAGAGUUUUCAUUUUUUUAAUAUUAAAAUCAAGUCAAUUUAUUAUAAUAAAUUUAGUUGAAUUUAAUCGUAUUACCACAUAAAUUGAAUAAUAAUAGAAUUCUCCACAAAUAUUUCAAUAUUUUAAUCUCAAGCAUUGGAGUGGCAUUUAUUUGUUAUGCGGUCGAUUUUAGAAUUUUUAAAAUUAUUCGUUACUGAAUUGCACCAUAUGCUGCAUCACCUGGAACUUACUAAACGGAACGUAGCGUUGGCACCGUUACCAACAUUCACUGUUACGACUUUGUGACAUUAGAAUUAAAAUCUUUUCCACAUCUAAUUUGUUUACUUCCAAAUUAAUAUUUAACAAAAUAUUUUUUCACAUUAUCAAUGGACAAAACUCCAACGAAAAUAACUAUACAAGAAAAAUGUAUGCUAGAAUUGUAUGCCAUAUCAUCUGUAAUUUUGUCAGGAUCGAUCAUUCUAAUUUUGAAGCAGAACUUUUUAUCAAUGGACAAACACCUCACACAGCUUGUCAGAGGCAUUAUUAUGAUGUAAGAUUGUAAUGGUAUAUCUUGAAUUAUUGGUAGAAUAGUGAAUAACUAUUUGGAGCAAUAAAAACAAAUAAGACAGAUGAGAAAAUGGCUAAAAUUAUAUAAGUGACCCAAAUUGUUUUGCUAUUUCCAAGAAAUCCCCAAUCUGAAUGGACCAGCCAGAGGGAGGCAAGUUAGAAAUAUGUUUCCUUCAUAGACAAUAACAACGAUGAGUCGAUGACAUCAAGCCACGUCGGUAUCAAUAUUGAAAUAAAGGUGCAAUUAUUCAGCCAAUGAGCCUUACACAUCGAGAUAAAAGUCAAGAAAAUGAAAAUUUAUCCCAAUUAAAACACUUUCUGGCUGCAUUUAGCUGUUUCCAUUUGAAGUUAAAAACAACGUUUCUUUCGUUUUGUGGGCGACUCGACUGAGCUAGCUGGCUUCUAGUGCUGGUAAGUGAAAAUAGAAGGCUAAUGAUUUCACUUUCACAUUUUUCUUUUCCUUUUUUGGGAAUCAAAGUCAAGGUCAAGAAGAAUAAAUGGAGAAUUCGGAAAAAUGGGUGCAUAAUGUGAUCCAUUCAUGAAGAAGAGUACGUGAGCGUCGGGCAACAGUAUUUUUACCUAUUAAGCUCCAGUUUAAUUUUGUUGUAGGAAAACAAAAUUUUGUUUUCAAUUCACAUCGUGUGCAUCCAAUUCAACAAACACUUUGUAAUAAUUAAUGUUGAGUUGUAUCCUACGUUAAGGAGAGUUACUUAAAUUUAUAAAUAGGAUAAAUUACUCUAUUUAAUAAGUUAAUGUUUUCUUCUUUCUUCUAGAUUACAUAUAAAUUUAGUCAGAUAACCUAACACAUAUUUUAAUACUCGAUCAGAAGCCCUAAGCAGUGGUGGAUCCAAUAAAUUGAUUUAUAUGGUGUAAUAAUGUAAUAAAAAAAUGGUGAUUCAUAAAAUUGACCCAAUAUCAAAAUUUGUUUGCAAGAUUACUCCCCACUCAAAGGUAAUUUUCCUAAAAAUUAAUAGGAAAUUUAAUUGUCAUUGGGAUCAAAUUGCCCCCACACUCUUGAAUGUAGAUCCUCCCCUGGCCUUGAGUCAAGUAUUUUUUCCAAUAUAUACUCCGAAUGUCGGCAGGAACAACCUUCCACUUUAAUUUAAAAUUUUUACUUGAAAAAUUAAUUAAUGUUAAUAAAGUUCGUAAGAGAAAUGAGUUUAAUAAAAGAAAAUUAUAGGAGAAAUUCUAAUGUUUGUCUUUUAAUAAAUUAGUUUAUAAGUUUAAAAAGUUAACAUAUAUCAAAAUAUUAUUGAUUGGUGGUGGUUUCACGUCAGAUUAAGACGUGACACUUUACUUGUGAGACUGAGACAAUCAGCUUAGACUACUUCAAUAGGUUUGAAGCGUAGGCGGCACCCAUUCAAUUUGCACCAAUGUCUAUCAUUCUUUGUCCUAAUUACUACGAUAAUUAAUAACAUGCAAUUGAAAUUAUUAAUGUUAGUACUUGCCUAUAAAUAAAGGUAUUGUACUUGAAUCUUCAUAGAUGAUCACUUCAUUCCUUUAUUUACUUUGGUAACACAGAUUUUGAGAGACAUUAAAACUAAAGAAUAAUUGAAUAUGGCUUUGUGGGUUGAUGAUGCCAGCUCCAACGUGAGUGCAAUUAUCGCAUGUUUAAUUGCUCUAUUAGCCGUGGUCUAUUUCGUGUGGACAAGGAAAACAAAUGCUAAACUUCCACCAGGACCUCGCGGCUUGCCUGUAAUCGGAUACCUCCCUUUUCUCGGAACUACUGACUUGCACAAGACAUUCACGGAAUUAGCUGGUGUGUAUGGUCCAAUCUUCAAGCUCUGGCUUGGCAACAAAUUGUGUGUAGUGGUGAGCUCGCCUUCCCUAGUUAAACAAGUGGUUCGUGAUCAAGAUAUAACAUUCGCUAACCGCGACCCACCGAUCGCUGGACUCGUGGCCUCCUUUGGUGGCAAUGAUAUUUUAUUUUCCAAUUAUGGUCCUGAAUGGAGAAAGUUGCGCAAAUUAUUUGUGGGCAAGUUGAUGAGUAACGCAAGUCUUGACGCUUGUUAUGCUCUAAGAAAACAAGAGGUUAAAAAUAUAAUCAGGGAUUUGUAUAAUAACAACAAAACUGGCAAGCCCAUAGAUGUUGGUGAGUUGUCGAUCUCAACUUUUGUAUGUGUUAUACAGAACAUGCUAUGGGGUGAAGCUCUUGAAUUAAGAGAGAAAGGGAUCAGUAACCUUGGGGCUGAGCUAAAGUUUAAGCUAGCAGAACUCGUGGUGCUAAUGGGAACACCGAAUAUUUCGGAUAUCAUUCCGUGCUUUCAUGGCUUGAUAUACAAGGUAUAGAGAAGAGAACAAAGAAGAUUUCUCU